rnacentral:rRNA from 1 species
UAAUACGUAUGGUGCGAACGUUAUUCGGAAUUACUGGGCAUAAAGGGCGCGUAGGCGGUUUGGUAAGUCUGCAUGUGAAAUCCCUCGGCUCAACCGAGGAACUGCAUCGGAAACUGCCAGACUAGAGUGCAGGAGGGGAGAGCGGAAUUCCUGGUGGAGCGGUGAAAUGCGUAGAUAUCAGGAGGAACGCCAGUGGCGAAAGCGGCUCUCUGGUCUGCAACUGACGCUGAGGCGCGAAAGCUAGGGGAGCGAACGGGAUUAGAUACCCCGGUAGUCCUGGCCCUAAACGAUGGGCACUAGGUAGAGGAGGUUUUAGAGCUUUCUCUGCUGUAGCUAAUGUAUUAAGUGCCCCGCCUGGGGAGUAUGGUCGCAAGGCUA